rnacentral:rRNA from 1 species
GACAGAGGGUGCAAACGUUGUUCGGAUUUACUGGGCGUAAAGCGCGUGUAGGCGGCUUGGCAAGUCGGAUGUGAAAGCCCACGGCUCAACCGUGGAAGCGCACCCGAAACGGCCUCGCUCGAGUCUCGGAGAGGAGGGUGGAAUGCUUGGUGUAGAGGUGAAAUUCGUAGAUAUCAAGCAGAACACCUGCGGCGAAGGCGGCCUUCUGGACGAUGACUGACGCUGAGACGCGAAAGCGUGGGGAGCAAACAGG